rnacentral:lncRNA from 1 species
CUCCAACGGCGUCUGCCAGCUUCUCUGUCAGCACGCCUGCACCAGCUCACAAUAAUGGCUGCCACCAAUGUCUCAGUCCCUAGAGAAGUCUCACCUCUAACUGAGAUUCACCCAGAGCCUAUCAGAGAGAAGCAGCUGCCUCCAUCCCUCCGAUUUUCUCUAGCAGUCUAGACAACCUAUGAUGCCCAGAAAUUUGGACUGCUGUCUGCAAGUGGAAAGACAAAGCUACACAUCGAUUGGGCGGUCAUGACAGCAGUUGGCCAGCUGCUGGUCCAUCCACAAGUCUUACAACAAUCCAACAGGGCUAUUUUGGAAUUGGAACAGAGCAAAACUAAAGUAGAAGGACUUUUGCAAGGCCCCAAGAUGUAGCUGUAAUUAAGAGGUCCAGAUGCAAAUCCCAUCAUCCAAGAGAUUUCCUCAAAAUAUGGAAUAAUGUGGAAAGCCUUUUUGAAAUGGCUGGGCAGAUGGCAGCGAGAGGACCUGGGCUGUGCAAGAGGCCAGUGGCUGCGUUCCUCAGCACUCAGGAGGAUUUCAAAGUGCCCAGGACCUGAGCGCCUGGGCCCUUCCAGGAGCUGUUGCCACGUGGAGACCACAAACUUGCUCCUGUGCUCAGAACUGCAGCUAUCUCUUCAUAAGCCCAUGCCCUGGGGCUUGGAGGAUGAAAACUGCUCCCCAAGAUGCCACCUUUAAAAACAGAAUGAAGCAUCUGCUCUGACAGCCUCUGGCUUGUUGGUAGCCUAUCCUAGUGGAAACAAGGAGUUGUUCUAACUUACCUUAGAGCAAAUCCCUGGUUCUCAACCCGACUGUUCAACCCUGGGACACUGAAAGAAAUACAGAGGCCCAGGCCCCACCUGGGCCUGCUCAGCCCAGCUCUCUCAGGUCAGGUCCUUUCAUGAUUCAGGUGAGCAGCCCAGGCUAGGAACUACGGGAAUCGGCUCUCGGAUUAGAAGUGAGGAUCUUCCAUUUUCAGUACGACAACCGGCCAUUUCUACACCAAGCAAGCAGAGGAUUGCUCAGCUUUUGCACUGCUGUCUUCUCAAGAACAAGUCAAGGACCACUGCAACAGCUUGGAACCUGGGCAUGAUUUCCUGGGUGAGGAGCAUUGCUCCCUGAGAGCAGGGUCAGCAGAAAGAGAGGUCCUGGCUCUUUUACUUGGUGACAUCCUGCAGUGAGCACAGCCCUAGUGAAGGACUGGUCCUAACCUUGACUCCCCCUGGUGUAAACACCUUGAAAUAUCCAGAGAAUGGGGCACAUCAGUUAAAUCAGUUGCAUUUAAUGGGCCUUUGCCGGCAGUGAGCUCCUGGGUUUCCCUGCGUCACUUCAGUGCCACCUGCGUGAAUGAAAGGCUGCCAAGUUAGACCUGCCCGUUGAAUUAAACCCGCAAUCUCAUUCUUCUCAAUAGCUGUGUCCUUGUGAUGCUUUGCCCUAUGCAGGCUAACCCUAGGAGCCCAGUAGGAACUCCUGUUUCUGCAAUGCCAAUUUGCCUAGGAGGUUGGGUGUACCAGCAAAAAUCUGUCUUUGAUCGCCAGAUAAUUCAGAUAGGCACAUAUAAUUGUAUAGAAACCAUUUCCUUCUGGCAGUGGAUUGUAGAGGGGAACAUUCUGGCUAAGGAGCUAUGAAACUGUUGGCUGCAGUAUAAAUGAGAUUCCACUCUGAGUUUGUGGUGACAAGCGACCUUUUCUGACCUGUAGCCCAUGCAGCAGUUAUCUCUUAAAUUUGAGCAUUUGACCCAGAAGGUAGUUCUCAUUCCUUCAAAUCCAUGGACUCGUGGUAUACGGGCCUUCACAUUCUGGUUCAGUGCCCUAGCUUUACCCCCAAGAGAGUGAAAACUUCAAGAGUUUGUCAGUGAUUAAAAUACAAGUACGCAUGCAUGCACGCACACAUCUUAUUUUCAGACUCCUAUGACACUGUAAUGCUUCCAAACUGAUGUCGGAAUCUAACUAAAUGAAAAUAUUUGUCAUCUGUCGUGUAGUAGUCAGGAUAGAGUAGGAUAGGAUGUCGUAACAGAACCCCUCAAAACUCAGUGGCUUAAACCUCAAAGCUUUAUUUUUCAAUCACCUUCCAAGUGAGUGGCAGAGAGUUCAUUCUUCAUUGUUACUCAAGAACUGAGGCUGCUGGAGGCACCACCAUCUUGACGUGGAGUAUUUGCCACUGCGUUGGGCUCUCACACCUUCUCAGUGUCAUUCGGGAAGCCACGUUCAUCACUUAUGCUCUCAUCCCACUGGAAAGAACUGCACAGGGGCCCUGGUUGCAGGUGGUCCAUGGAUUUGAAGUUGUGCUGAGGAAGAGAGGAGAGCCGUAUGUGG